GACAGAGGGGGCAAGCGUUGCUCGGAAUCACUGGGCGUAAAGGGCGCGUAGGCGGGCUGGCAAGUCGGUCGUGAAAUCUCUCGGCUCAACCGAGAAACGUCGGCCGAUACUGCCGUUCUUGAGGGAUGCAGAGGAGACUGGAAUUCCCGGUGUAGCGGUGAAAUGUGUAGAGAUCGGGAGGAACACCAGUGGCGAAGGCGAGUCUCUGGGCUGAUACCGACGCUGAGGCGCGAAAGCCAGGGGAGCAAACGGG
rnacentral:rRNA from 1 species